rnacentral:sRNA from 1 species
CAAUAAACAUGAUGGAAACGGAAAUCCUUUUGGUUAAACGGAAAUUCUAUUUCAAGAUUCACCCAACAAAAAGAUUGCAGUGUACAGCAGGAUUGAGG